AAUUCAAGGCUCAUGCAUAUGAAAAUGCCAAGCUCUACAAAGAAAAGACUAAGAAGUGGCAUGAAAAAAUGCUUUUGCCAUGACAUUUUCAUGUUGGACAGCAAGUGCUCUUAUUUAACUCUAGGUUCAAGCUCUUCCCGGGCAAACUGAAGUC